UCGCUGGCUUGCUCCUCUUCCUCUUCCUCUUCCUCUUCCUCUUCCUCUUCCUCUUCCUCUUCAUCCUCCUUGUCCUCCACCACCCCGCCCUUAUGGAGGUUGAUGCCAGGCGUGUCCUGGCUUGACUUGACAAUG
rnacentral:miRNA from 1 species